rnacentral:rRNA from 1 species
AUGGAUUCCAUCUUGGCGAAUGAAACUUGGGAGAUAACUGAUCGUCCUUAUGGGUGCAAACCUAUAGGAUGCAAAUGGGUAUUCAAGAAGAAGCUUAGGCCUGAUGGCUUUGUUGUGAACGAAGCUGACAAAUGUGUGUACUAUCGCCAUGGUGGGGAUGAAGGAGUUAUGCUUUGCUUGUAUGUUGAUGACAUACUGAUUUUCGGAACAAAUCUGAAUGUUAUUAACAAGGUCAAGGAUUUCCUAUCUCGUUGUUUUGAGAUGAAGGAUUUAGGAGUGGUUGAUGUCAUUCUGAACAUCAAGUUGUUGAGAGACGAUGAUGGUGGGAUUACAUUGCUUCAAUCUCACUAUGUGGAAAAGAUCUUGAGUCGCUUUGGCUACAGUGACUGCACUGCAAAUUAUGGAAUUCACUACACUGGGCACCCAAAGGUGCUUGAAGGGUAUAGUGACUCAAACUGGAUCUCAGAUGCUGAUGAGAUAAAGGCCACGAGCGGAUAUGUAUUCACUCAUGGAGGUGGCGCUAUUUCUUGGAAGUCUUGCAAGCAGACCAUCUUAACGAGGUCAACAAUGGAAGCAGAACUCACAGCACUAGAUACAGCUACGGUCGAAGUAGAUUGGCUUCGCCGGCUCUUGAAUGACUUACCGGUUGUUGAGAAACCUGUACCGGGUAUCCUUAUGAACUAUGACAAUCAAAUUGUGAUCAUGAAAGUGAAUAGCUCAAAGGAUAACAUGAAG